rnacentral:rRNA from 1 species
AGAAGUAAAGAAGGGCGUAUGGGGAUGCCUAGGCUCUCAGAGGCGAAGAAGGACGUGAUAAGCUGCGAAAAGCUGCGGGGAUCCGCAAAUAGGACGUGAUCCGCAGGUGUCCGAAUGGGGCAACCCGGUGUGUUGAAGACACAUCAUCCUGCUGAAAAGCGGGANNAGCAAACCCAGGGAACUGAAACAUCUAAGUACCUGGAGGAGGAGAAAAUAAACGNAAUGAUUGCGCAAGUAGUGGCGAGCGAACGCGCAAGAGCCCAAACCCACUUAGUUAAGGCUAAUUGGGGGUUAUAGGACUACAUAAUCAAAACCAAAGACGAUCUGAACGGUAUGGGAAAGCCGGCCAUAGCGGGUGAUAGCCCCGUAAGAGAAGUUAGCGGAGAGAGGUAGUAUCCUGAGUAGGGCGGGGUCGGAGACGCCCCGUUUGAAUUUGCCGGCACCAUCCGGUAAGGCUAAAUACUCCUGAGAGACCGAUAGUGAACCAGUACUGUGAAGGAAAGGUGAAAAGUACUCCGAACAGGAGGGUGAAAAGAGAACCUGAAACCAUACGCUUACAAGCGGUCAGAGCCUCGUAAUGGGGUGAUGGCGUGCCUUUGCAUAAUGAGCCUACGAGUUACUGUCCCUGGCGAGGUUAAGUUCCUUGAAGGAAUGCAGCCGGAGCGAAAGCGAGUCUGAAUAGGGCGCAUAGUCAGUGGUAGUAGACGCGAAACUUUGUGAUCUACCCUUGGUCAGGAUGAAGCCCCGUUAACCCGGGGUGGAGGUCCGAACUAGUAAACGUUGAAAAGUUUUUGGAUGAACUGAGGGUAGGGGUGAAAGGCUAAUCAAACUGAGAAAUAGCUCGUACUCCCNGAAAUGUUUUUAGGAACAGUGUGGAGGUUUNNGAGUUUAAUAGAGGUAGAGCUACCAAUUGGACUAGGNGGAGUCACAUCCUACCAAAUCCAGAUGAACUCCGAAUGCUAUUAAAUAUACUCUGCAAUGAGGGCAUGGGUGCUAAGGUCCGUGUCCGAGAGGGAAAGAACCCAGACCUACAGCUAAGGUCCCAAAAUCUAUACUAAGUUGAACUAAGGCGGUUCAGUUGCUGAGACAGCCAGGAGGUUAGCUUGGAAGCAGCUAUUCCUUUAAAGAGUGCGUAACAGCUCACUGGUCGAGCGACAGAGCAUCGAUAAUAAUCGGGCAUCAAGUAUAGUACCGAAGCUUAGGAUCCCCGAUGCAAAUCGGGGUGGUAGGGAGCAUUCUAACAGCGGAGAAGCUAUCUGGUAAUGGAUGGUGGAGCGGUUAGAAAAGCAAAUGUAGGCAUAAGUAACGAUAAGGCAGGUGAGAACCCUGCCCACCGAUAGACUAAGGUUUCCGCGGCAAUGUCAAUCAGCCGCGGGUAAGUCGGGACCUAAGGCGAAUCCGAAAGGAGUAGUCGAUGGCCAACCGGUUAAUAUUCCGGUACUACCGUAAUGAGCGAUGUGGUGAAGGAGGAGUGAAAGCUCCGCGUUCAGACGAAAUUGGACGUUAAAAGGCGUAGGUAUAGGCAGUGUAGGCAAAUCCGCACAGCUUGCUGAAACCCAACAGUACCAGGAGGCUUCGGCCGAAUGGAUAGAGAGCGUAAGCAGACUUCCGAGAAAACCCGCUAAGCAUAUUGUUAUGGUACCCGUACCGCAAACCGACACAGGUAGUCAAGUAGAAGAUACUAAGGUGCUCGAGUGAAUCAUGGCUAAGGAACUCGGCAAAUUAAUCCUGUAACUUCGGGAGAAGGGAUGCCUAGUUUGUAGCAAUACAAAAAGGUCGCAGAGAAAUGGCCCAGGCGACUGUUUAACAAAAACACAUGGCUUUGCGAAAUCGCAAGAUGAAGUAUAAGGCCUGACACCUGCCCGGUGCUGGAAGGUUAAGGGGGACGUUAGUGGGAAACUGCGAAGCGUUGAACUGAAGCCCCAGUAAACGGCGGCCGUAACUAUAACGGUCCUAAGGUAGCGAAAUUCCUUGUCGGGUAAGUUCCGACCUGCACGAAUGGUGUAACGAUCUGGGCACUGUCUCAGCCAUGAGCUCGGUGAAAUUGUAGUCACGGUGAAGAUGCCGUGUACCCGUCACGGGACGGAAAGACCCCAUGCACCUUUACUAUAGCUUCACAUUGGCAUUGGGAGAAUGAUGUGUAGGAUAGGUGGGAGNGCGUUGAUCCAGGGCCGCUAGGUUUUGGGAGCCAACGGUGAAAUACCACCCUUUAUUUUCUUGAUUCCUAAUCCCGCAAAAGCGGGAGACAUUGUGUGGUGGGUAGUUUGACUGGGGUGGUCGCCUCCGAAAGUGUAUCGGAGGCUUUCAAAGGUAUGCUCAGUACGGUUGGUAAUCGUAUGUGGAGUGCAAUAGCAUAAGCAUGCUUGACUGUGAGACUGACGAGUCGAGCAGGGACGAAAGUUGGAUAUAGUGAUCCGGUGGUUCUGCAUGGAAGGGCCAUCGCUCAAAGGAUAAAAGGUACGCUGGGGAUAACAGGCUGAUCUCCCNCAAGAGCUCAUAUCGACGGGGAGGUUUGGCACCUCGAUGUCGGCUCGUCACAUCCUGGGGCUGGAGAAGGUCCCAAGGGUUAGGCUGUUCGCCUAUUAAAGUGGCACGCGAGCUGGGUUCAGAACGUCGUGAGACAGUUCGGUCCCUAUCUGUGAUGGGCGUAGGAAGUUUGAGAGGAUCUGACCUUAGUACGAGAGGACCGGGUUGGACCAACCGCUGGUGUACCGGUUGUCGUGUCAGCGGCACGGCCGGGUAGCUAUGUUGGGACGGGAUAAGCGCUGAAAGCAUCUAAGCGCGAAACCCACCUCGAGAUGAGACUUCCAUUAAGGGACGUCAGAGAUGAUGACGUUGAUAGGCUGCAGGUGUAAAGUCAGAAAUGGCAAAGCUGAGCAGUACUAAUUACCCGUUCGCUUCAGAA